AUUGAACGCUGGCGGCAGGCCUAACACAUGCAAGUCGAGCGGAUGAAGGGAGCUUGUUCCUGGAUUCAGCGGCGGACGGGCGAGUAAUGCCUAGGAAUCUGCCUGGUAGUGGGGGAUAACGUCCGGAAACGGGCGCUAAUACCGCAUACGUCCUGAGGGAGAAAGUGGGGGUUCUUCGGACCUCACGCUAUCAGAUGAGCCUAGGUCGGAUUAGCUAGUUGGUGGGGUAAAGGCCUACCAAGGCGACGAUCCGUAACUGAUCUGAGAGGAUGAUCAGUCACACUGGAACUGAGACACGGUCCAGACUCCUACGGGAGGCAGCAGUAGGGAAUAUUGGACAAUGGGCGAAAGCCUGAUCCAGCCAUGCCGCGUGUGUGAAGAAGGUCUUCGGAUUGUAAAGCACUUUAAGUUGGGAGGAAGAACAGUAAGUUAAAACCUUCCUGUUUUGACGUUACCAACAGAAUAAGCACCGGCUAACUUCGUG
rnacentral:rRNA from 1 species